GCGCGCGCCUCAGGCAUUUCUGGAAGAUUGGAGGAAUGAAGUUUUGAGCAAGCAGUUGGCCUUCUGCACAUUUGGUAGUCAAUGAGGAGCUGCAUUCAGAGACCCAGUGCCCAGAAAAGCUGAAGAGGGAGUUGCGACAGGUAGACAGAAGCUGAAAGU